CAAAAGGUUUUUUUCAAAACCACAUAGUUUACAUUUGACAAUUGUAU
rfam:Aedes aegypti strain Liverpool supercont1.187 genomic scaffold, whole genome shotgun sequence.